AUCUGCAGGGGCCCCCCUAUUUAUAGAAUGGUUCCACUCCCAUCACUCACCACAGCUUGAUGUAGGCUUCCCGCCAACUCAGCUCUCCAUUUGGCUCACUGACCUCCGAACUCAAUGUAACUGUGACUCCAUGCUGUCACCAUCAUGCCUGAUUACUGCCUAAGUCACACGCCACCAUGGAGAAAGACAGAGAAAUGAAUAAUUCAGCCAUGGUGAAGACCAGCAGCAUCACCAUGAUUCCCUGUAACAGAAGAAGAAAGAGUGAGGGAUCUGGUGCCCCGGAGCCAGCUUCACGGAGAAGGACCUGAGGACACAGACGUUUCUGCUGUGGUAAGGCGGAAAGACAGCAGGCUAUGUCAUUCAAGAAAUUCUUA